UGGGGAAUUUUGGACAAUGGGCGCAAGCCUGAUCCAGCAAUGCCGCGUGCAGGAUGAAGGCCUUCGGGUUGUAAACUGCUUUUGUACGGAACGAAAAGGCUCUGGCUAAUACCUGGGGCACAUGACGGUACCGUAAGAAUAAGCACCGGCUAACUACGUGCCAGCAGCCGCGGUAAUACGUAGGGUGCGAGCGUUAAUCGGAAUUACUGGGCGUAAAGCGUGCGCAGGCGGUUUUGUAAGACAGAGGUGAAAUCCCCGGGCUCAACCUGGGAACUGCCUUUGUGACUGCAAGGCUGGAGUGCGGCAGAGGGGGAUGGAAUUCCGCGUGUAGCAGUGAAAUGCGUAGAUAUGCGGAGGAACACCGAUGGCGAAGGCAAUCCCCUGGGCCUGCACUGACGCUCAUGCACGAAAGCGUGGGGAGCAAACAGGAUUAGAUACCCUGGUAGUCCACGCCCUAAACGAUGUCAACUGGUUGUUGGGUCUUAAUUGACUCAGUAACGAAGCUAACGCGUGAAGUUGACCGCCUGGGGAGUACGGCCGCAAGGUUGAAACUUAAAGGAAUUGACGGAGUCAUAGCUGUUUUCCU
rnacentral:rRNA from 1 species